CCUACGGGGGGCAGCAGUGAGGAAUAUUGGACAAUGGUCGGAAGACUGAUCCAGCCAUGCCGCGUGCAGGAUGACGGCCUUAUGGGUUGUAAACUGCUUUUGUAAGGGAAGAAUAAGGGCUACGUGUAGUUUGAUGACGGUACCUUACGAAUAAGCAUCGGCUAACUCCGUGCCAGCAGCCGCGGUAAUACGGAGGAUGCGAGCGUUAUCCGGAAUCAUUGGGUUUAAAGGGUCUGUAGGCGGGCUGGUAAGUCAGAGGUGAAAGCGCUCAGCUCAACUGAGCAACUGCCUUUGAAACUGUUGGUCUUGAAUGGUUGUGAAGUAGUUGGAAUGUGUAGUGUAGCGGUGAAAUGCUUAGAUAUUACACAGAACACCGAUAGCGAAGGCAUAUUACUAACAAUUAAUUGACGCUGAUGGACGAAAGCGUGGGGAGCGAACAGGAUUAGAUACCCGAGUAGUC
rnacentral:rRNA from 1 species